rnacentral:snRNA from 1 species
GUGUUCACUUCUGCAGCACAUAUACUAAAAUUGUAACAAUACAGAGAUUAGCAUGGCCCCUGCACAAGGAUGACAUGCAAAUUCAUGAAGCGUUCCACAUUUUU